rnacentral:tRNA from 1 species
GCCGAAGUGGUGGAAUUGGUAGACGCGCUAGUUUCAGGGACUAGUGGAUUAAACCCCGUGCGAGUUCGAGUCUCGCCUUCGGCACCA